rnacentral:rRNA from 1 species
UCCGUAGGUGAACCUGCGGAAGGAUCAUUACCGAGUGAGGGCCCUCUGGGUCCAACCUCCCACCCGUGUUUAUUUUACCUUGUUGCUUCGGCGGGCCCGCCUUAACUGGCCGCCGGGGGGCUCACGCCCCCGGGCCCGCGCCCGCCGAAGACACCCUCGAACUCUGUCUGAAGAUUGAAGUCUGAGUGAAAAUAUAAAUUAUUUAAAACUUUCAACAACGGAUCUCUUGGUUCCGGCAUCGAUGAAGAACGCAGCGAAAUGCGAUACGUAAUGUGAAUUGCAAAUUCAGUGAAUCAUCGAGUCUUUGAACGCACAUUGCGCCCCCUGGUAUUCCGGGGGGCAUGCCUGUCCGAGCGUCAUUGCUGCCCUCAAGCCCGGCUUGUGUGUUGGGCCCCGUCCUCCGAUCUCCGGGGGACGGGCCCGAAAGGCAGCGGCGGCACCGCGUCCGGUCCUCGAGCGUAUGGGGCUUUGUCACCCGCUCUGUAGGCCCGGCCGGCGCUUGCCGAUCAACCCAAAUUUUUAUCCAGGUUGACCUCGGAUCAGGUAGGGAUACCCGCUGAACUUAAGCAUAUCAAUAAGC